AGCAGGGAAGCAAUGUGGCUAGUAAGCCACAAAAACAUCCCGGGGAUUAGUUGCGAUGCAGAGCCUAUGAGAAACGGAUGCAAGAAGACAUGUAACCGGUGCUGAAUAUCUUAUGGAAGCGGUAAGGCUACCAGUUCCGAUAUACAAAGUGGCAUUCGCAGGGUGAAUUAGAUUGUUACACUUCAUAGAAGACAGUGUAUACAUUAUUUGAAACAUUAGCAAUCUCUGGGAUUAAUAAAAUCUAUUUUAGUUGUUCAAAUGAUCUGAUUUGUUAUAGACAAUGCACUCUAUAGACAAUGUUUCCAUGGAAGAAGGAAGUAUUGAGCUCGGUUGGAUAGAAAGGGCGUUUAUCCCUGGACUAGCGUUAGCCUUCCUAUAGGAACCCGGCCCUUGGGACAGUUCGAGCAGUAUUGGCGGUUUAAACUAUCUGACCCGACUGUAUUCCUUUUUCUCCUAAGCCAUGUUUUCAAAGCCGCCCACUCAACCCCGGAAUUCCCAUUACCCGUACUUGACUUCUUUGAUAAUCAAUUAGUAUCCCGAGAAACCCUCUUUCUUUUCGCCACGUUUUUAGGCGUUAAUUCAGACAUUGUUUGACCCUUUAUUGGUCGCUUGGAGACCGUUGAUAGCGAAUGGAGCGCUUUUAAAGUUUUUUUCAUUUUUGGUAAAAGGUCCUGUGAUCCUGGUGAUAUCGUAAUAAAGAUUAUCUUUUGCGUUUUUAUCAUCAUUAUCAAUUAAUUCCUUUAUCCCCUUUUUAGUAACGGGUUUUUCAAAGGUGCCGUAUAGUCGCUCUGUUUUCUCAGAUCAGAGCAACCGCCACACUAAUCAGUACUUGGGAAAUCGCUAUCAUGGAUUAUUUUAGUACAUAAAUC